rnacentral:rRNA from 1 species
GAUGAACGCUGGCGGCGUGCCUAAUACAUGCAAGUCGAGCGAACAGACGAGGAGCUUGCUCCUCUGACGUUAGCGGCGGACGGGUGAGUAACACGUGGAUAACCUACCUAUAAGACUGGGAUAACUUCGGGAAACCGGAGCUAAUACCGGAUAAUAUAUUGAACCGCAUGGUUCAAUAGUGAAAUACGGUUUUGCUGUCACUUAUAGAUGGAUCCGCGCGGCAUUAGCUAGUUGGUAAGGUAACGGCUUACCAAGGCAACGAUGCGUAGCCGACCUGAGAGGGGGAUAGGCCACCCUGGAACUGGAACACGGUCAAGAGUCCUAAGGGAGGCAGCAGUAGGGAAUCUUACGCAAUAGGCGAAAGCAUGACGGAGCAACGCCGCGUGAGUGAUGAAGGUGUUCGGAUCGUAAAACUCUGUUAUUAGGGAAGAACAAAUGUGGAAGUAACUAUGCACGUCUUGACGGUACCUAAUCAGAAAGCAACGGCUAACUACGUG